rnacentral:rRNA from 1 species
UGGCGGACGGGUGAGUAAUGUCUGGGAAACUGCCCGAUGGAGGGGGAUAACUACUGGAAACGGUAGCUAAUACCGCAUAACGUCGCAAGACCAAAGAGGGGGACCUUCGGGCCUCCUGCCAUCGGAUGAACCCAUAUGGGAUUAGCUUGUAGGUAAGGUAACGGCUUACCUAGGCGACGAUCCCUAGCUGGUCUGAGAGGAUGAUCAGCCACACUGGGACUGAGACACGGCCCAG